rnacentral:lncRNA from 1 species
UCAUUCAUGCUUUCUAUUGCUUGAUUAUUUAACAUGUUCAUACUCCCAUGCAUUGUUUAAAUGCUCCAUUAUUUGAUUCUUUGGUUUGAUUAUAUAUUGUUUAUUUAUCCGAUCUGAUUGAUAACUGUUGCCUACUUGUAUGAUGUAUGAGGCAUAUAUUCUUAUUGUUUGUUUGCCAUGAACAAUCCCCAUUCAUAACAAAUGUACCCCUCUCCCAUAAAGUGUAUAAUAUUUAUUUCUUUAUUUCUUUAGUCACCUGUUAGUACAAGAAUUAAAACGAACAUCCG